rnacentral:rRNA from 1 species
AUGCAGCCAUGCCGCGUGUAUGAAGAAGGCCUUCGGGUUGUAAAGUACUUUCAGCAGUGAGGAAGGUGGUAGUGUUAAUAGCACUAUCAUUUGACGUUAGCUGCAGAAGAAGCACCGGCUAACUCCGUGCCAGCAGCCGCGGUAAUACGGAGGGUGCGAGCGUUAAUCGGAAUUACUGGGCGUAAAGCGCAUGCAGGUGGUUUGUUAAGUCAGAUGUGAAAGCCCGGGGCUCAACCUCGGAAUAGCAUUUGAAACUGGCAGACUAGAGUACUGUAGAGGGGGGUAGAAUUUCAGGUGUAGCGGUGAAAUGCGUAGAGAUCUGAAGGAAUACCGGUGGCGAAGGCGGCCCCCUGGACAGAUACUGACACUCAGAUGCGAAAGCGUGGGGAGCAAACAGGAUUAGAUACCCUGGUAGUCCACGCCGUAAACGAUGUCUACUUGGAGGUUGUGGCCUUGAGCCGUGGCUUUCGGAGCUAACGCGU